rnacentral:rRNA from 1 species
UACGUAGGGGGCAAGCGUUGUCCGGAUUUAUUGGGCGUAAAGAGCGUGUAGGCGGCCAAGCAGGUCCGCUGUGAAAACUCGAGGCUCAACCUCGAGAGGUCGGUGGAAACCGUUUGGCUAGAGUCCGGAAGAGGAGAGUGGAAUUCCCGGUAUAGCGGUGAAAUGCGCAGAUAUCGGGAAGAACACCCGUGGCGAAGGCGGCUCUCUGGGACGGUACUGACGCUGAGGCGCGAAAGCGUGGGGAGCAAACAGG